rnacentral:rRNA from 1 species
AUGUGGCUCGGGAGCUGCGCAGGCAGCGCGACCGCAGCCGCAGCCGCGCUACAUAAACCCGUCGCCCACCCGCGGCCCCUCCUCAGAGUCUCCGCCUGUUCCUCCACCCCCGCACCGCUCCACGCCAACGCCCACCCCUCCGUCGCGGCUGGUCCGACCCGGGGCCCGGGCCCCAGCGCAAGCGUCGCGCCCACCGCGAUGCCGUCUUCCUCCUCCGCGCCGACGACGCCGCCGCCCGCCGAGGAGACGACCGCCGCCGCCGCAGCCGGCGGGUUCCGCCUCACCGAGCCCUCCUUCCUCGAGUCGCUCAUGCCGAAGAAGGAGACCGGCGUUGACCGCUUCCUCGCCGCGCACCCCGAGUACGACGGCCGCGGCUCGCUCAUCGCCAUCUUCGAUUCUGGAGUUGAUCCGGCUGCAGCUGGGUUGCAGAAAACUUCUGACGGGAAGCCCAAGAUCCUUGAUGUUAUUGAUUGCACGGGUAGUGGUGAUGUUGACACGUCCAAAGUGGUGAAAGCUGAUGCUGACGGUGCUAUAGUUGGUGCUUCAGGCGCUCGUUUGUCUGUAAAUCCCUCAUGGAAGAACCCUUCUCAAGAGUGGCGUGUUGGCUGCAAACUAGUAUAUGAACUCUUCACGGACACACUUAUAUCUCGAUUGAAGAAAGAAAGAAAAAGGAAAUGGGAUGAAGAAAACCAAGAAGCGAUAUCCAGAGCUCUGAACCAGCUGAACGAGUUUGAAAAGAAGCAUAGUAAGCCUGAUGAUGCUAAACUGAAAAAGGCUCAAGAAGACCUGCAAAACAGACUUGAUUGCCUGAGGAAACAAGCAGAUGGUUAUGAUGACAGGGGACCUGUGAUUGAUGUUGUUGUAUGGCAUGAUGGUGAUGUGUGGAGGGUUGCAGUUGAUACUCAGGGACUUGAGGAUAAGAAAGAUAGUGGAAAACUAGCAGAUUUUGUUCCGUUGACAAACUACAGGAUUGAGCGAAAGUUUGGGAUUUUUAGCAAAUUAGAUGCUUGCUCUUUUGUAGCAAAUGUGUAUGAUGAUGGGAACCUUGUCAGCAUAGUAACUGACUGCUCUCCGCAUGCUACCCAUGUUGCCGGCAUUGCAGCUGCUUUUCAUCCUGAAGAACCUUUGCUGAAUGGAAUUGCACCAGGGGCACAAUUGAUUUCUUGUAGAAUAGGAGAUACCCGCUUAGGAUCAAUGGAGACAGGGACAGGCUUGGUUAGGGCCUUGAUAGCUGCAGUAGAGCACAAAUGCGAUCUGAUUAAUAUGAGCUACGGUGAGCCUGCUCUUCUUCCUGACUAUGGAAGAUUCAUUGAUAUUGUCAAUGAGGUUGUCGACAAGCAUCGUAUUAUAUUUAUUAGUAGUGCUGGAAACAACGGUCCGGCUUUAAACACUGUUGGUGCACCUGGCGGGACUAGUUCAAGCAUUAUUGGUAUUGGUGCCUAUGUCUCACCAGCUAUGGCUGCUGGAGCCCACUGUGUCGUACAACCUCCGUCGGAGGGGAUGGAGUACACAUGGUCUAGUCGAGGUCCCACAGCUGAUGGGGAUCUUGGUGUCUCCAUUAGCGCACCUGGUGGAGCAGUGGCCCCUGUGCCAACAUGGACCCUUCAGUCUCGCAUGCUCAUGAAUGGUACUUCCAUGUCAUCUCCUUCUGCCUGUGGUGGGGUUGCUCUCCUUGUUAGUGCCAUGAAGGCUGAAGGCAUUCCAGUAAGCCCUUAUACUGUGAGGAAGGCAAUCGAGAAUACAGCUUCAUCUAUAAGUGAUGCACCUGAGGAGAAACUGACAACAGGACAUGGGCUUUUGCAAGUUGAUAGGGCUUAUGAAUAUGCGCGGCAAGCUAAGAAGUUGCCACUUGUUUCUUACAGAAUCUCAAUCAGUCAAGUAGGGAAGUCAAUUCCAAAACUAAGAGGAAUAUAUCUACGUGGGAGUAAUUCAUGUCAACAAACGAGUGAGUGGACUGUUCAACUUAACCCAAAAUUUCACGACGAUGCGAGUAAUUUGGAGCAAUUGGUUCCAUUUGAGGAGUGCCUGCAGCUGCAUUCCACUGAUAGCUCUGUUAUUAAUAUUCCUGAGUAUAUAUUGUUGACAAACAAUGGGCGCAGUUUCAACAUUGUCGUCAAUCCUGUUAAUAUCAGUAGUGGCCUUCACUACUAUGAAGUUUAUGGCAUGGAUUGCAGAGCACCAUGGCGUGGACCCAUUUUCCGAGUGCCAAUCACAAUAAUUAAGCCUAUUGCUCUAUCAGGAGAGCCGCCAAUAUUGUUACUUUCCAAACUGUACUUCAAGUCAGGUCAUAUCGAAAGGAGGUUCAUAAAUGUGCCAAUUGGGGCCUCGUGGGCGGAAGUUACCAUGCGCACAUCAGCCUUUGAUACUCCUAGAAGGUUCUUUUUGGAUACUGUUCAGAUGUGUCCACUGAAGCGACCUAUCAAAUGGGAGUCUGUUGUUACUUUCUCGUCACCAUCUAUCAAGAAUUUCAGUUUUCCUGUUGAAGGUGGCUUAACUUUGGAAUUGUCUAUAGCCCAGUUCUGGUCUAGUGGAAAUGCUAGCCAUGAACCUACCUGUGUUGAUUUCGAGAUUGUGUUUCAUGGAAUUUUCAUUGAUCAGAAAGUAAUUGCCCUUGAUGGUAGUGAGUCACCUAUGCGUAUUGUUGCUAGAUCAUUAUUAGCAUCAGAAAGGCUUGUUCCUGUUGCCACUCUGAACAAGAUCAAGAUACCUUAUCGACCAGUGGAUUCUAACUUUUGUCCGCUUCCCACCAGCCGUGAUAGAUUACCCUCUGGCAAGCAAAUUAUUGCACUGACUUUGACUUACAAAUUCAAACUGGAGGACGGUGCUGAAGUAAAGCCCCAUCUGCCCCUACUUAACAACAGAAUAUAUGAUAAUAAGUUUGAGUCUCAGUUCUAUAGAAUUUCAGAUUCAAAUAAGUGUGUUUACUCUUCUGGUGAUGUCUAUCCUAGUUAUGUCAAACUUCCAAAAGGUGAAUACACACUGCAAUUGUACAUAAGGCAUGAAAAUGUGCAAAUCUUGGAGAAGCUGAAGCAAUUGGUUCUAUUUAUUGAGAGAAAACUAGAGAAGAAGGAUUGCAUUCAAUUAAGUUUCUACUCUGAACCUGAUGGUCCUAUAACUGGAAAUGCCGCCUUCAAGUCCUCUGUUUUAGUUCCCGGAGAACCUGAAGCAUUCUAUGUGGGUCCACCAUCUAGAGAAAAACUUCCGAAGGGUGCUCCACCUGGGUCUGUUUUAGUUGGCUCCAUAACCUAUGGUAUAGUAAGCUCAUUCAACAAGAAAGAUGAACAGCAUGCUCCAGCAUCUUAUAGCAUUUUGUGUAUCAUUCCACCAUCAAAGGUUGAUGAUACUAAAGAAAAGGGGGUUUCAGUUGAAACAGAGAAGAGUAUUUCUGAGAGGUUAAAUGAUGAGGUUCGAGACACCAAGAUAAAGUUCCUUUCGGGCCUUAAACAAGACAAUGAGGACAACAAGUCUGCCUGGACUGAGCUUGUCGCUUCUCUUAAGUCUGAGUAUCCAAAAUAUACACCUUUGCUUGCCAAAAUUUUGGAAUGUGUACAUCAGGAAUCAACCUCUGAUGAUAAAAUUAGCCAUCACAAAGAGGUUAUUGUUGCAGCUGAUGAGGUCGUGGACAGUAUUGACAAAGAGCAACUAGCAAAACUUUUGGUUUUAAAACCCGAUCCUGAGGAUGAAGAAUCACAGAAAACUAAGAAAAAAAUGGAAGAAACACGAGACCAGCUAGCAGAUGCACUAUACCAAAAAGGUCUUGCACUGGCAGAGAUUGAGUCGUUAAAGCCUGAUGAGUCAACCGAGGCAUCUGCUAAAGAUGUUUUUGAGGAGAAUUACAAAGAAUUAAUUAAAUGGGUUGAUGCCAAAUCUACAAAAUACGGCACUCUGACCGUUCUACGUGAGAGGCGCUGUGGAAGAUGUGGCACGGCACUCAAGGUUCUAAACGACAUGAUUCAAGAGGACUCUGAGCAACCAAAGAAGAAGUUAUAUGAUCUGAAGAUCCAGCUGAUUGAGGAGAUAGGAUGGGCACAUGUAUCGGCUUAUGAAAAGCAGUGGAUGCAUGUCCGCUUUCCCCCAUCUCUGCCUCCCUUUUAA